AUGGUUAAGUUAGAAAGGGCGCACGGUGGAUGCCUUGGCACUAGGAGCCGAUGAAGGACGGGACGAACACCGAUAUGCUUCGGGGAGCUGUAAGCAAGCUUUGAUCCGGAGAUUUCCGAAUGGGGAAACCCACUGCUCGUAAUGGAGUAGUAUCCAUACUUGAAUACAUAGAGUAUGAGAAGGCAUACCCGGGGAACUGAAACAUCUAAGUACCCGGAGGAAGAGAAAGCAAAUGCGAUUCCCUGAGUAGCGGCGAGCGAAACGGGAACAGCCCAAACCAAGAGGCUUGCCUCUUGGGGUUGUAGGACACUCUAUACGGAGUUACAAAGGAACGAUAUAAGCGAAGAGGUCUGGAAAGGCCCGCCAAAGAAGGUAACAGCCCUGUAACUGAAAUGUUGUUCUCUCCAGAGUGGAUCCUGAGUACGGCGGAACACGUGAAAUUCCGUCGGAAUCCGGGAGGACCAUCUCCCAAGGCUAAAUACUCCCUAGUGACCGAUAGUGAACCAGUACCGUGAGGGAAAGGUGAAAAGCACCCCGGAAGGGGAGUGAAAUAGAUCCUGAAACCGUGUGCCUACAAGUAGUCAGAGCCCGUUAACGGGUGAUGGCGUGCCUUUUGUAGAAUGAACCGGCGAGUUACGAUCCCGUGCAAGGUUAAGCAGAAGAUGCGGAGCCGCAGCGAAAGCGAGUCUGAAUAGGGCGCAUGAGUACGUGGUCGUAGACCCGAAACCAGGUGAUCUACCCAUGUCCAGGGUGAAGUUCAGGUAACACUGAAUGGAGGCCCGAACCCACGCACGUUGAAAAGUGCGGGGAUGAGGUGUGGGUAGGGGUGAAAUGCCAAUCGAACCUGGAGAUAGCUGGUUCUCUCCGAAAUAGCUUUAGGGCUAGCCUCAAGGUAAGAGUCUCGGAGGUAGAGCACUGAUUGGACUAGGGGCCCCUACCGGGUUACCGAAUUCAGUCAAACUCCGAAUGCCGAUGACUUAUCCUUGGGAGUCAGACUGCGAGUGAUAAGAUCCGUAGUCGAAAGGGAAACAGCCCAGACCGCCAGCUAAGGUCCCAAAGUAUACGUUAAGUGGAAAAGGAUGUGGAGUUGCUUAGACAACCAGGAUGUUGGCUUAGAAGCAGCCACCAUUUAAAGAGUGCGUAAUAGCUCACUGGUCGAGUGACUCUGCGCCGAAAAUGUACCGGGGCUAAACGUAUCACCGAAGCUGCGGACUGUUCUUACGAACAGUGGUAGGAGAGCGUUCUAAGUGCAGUGAAGUCAGACCGGAAGGACUGGUGGAGCGCUUAGAAGUGAGAAUGCCGGUAUGAGUAGCGAAAGACGGGUGAGAAUCCCGUCCACCGAAUGCCUAAGGUUUCCUGAGGAAGGCUCGUCCGCUCAGGGUUAGUCGGGACCUAAGCCGAGGCCGAAAGGCGUAGGCGAUGGACAACAGGUUGAUAUUCCUGUACCACCUCCUCACCAUUUGAGCAAUGGGGGGACGCAGGAGGAUAGGGUAAGCGCGGUAUUGGAUAUCCGCGUCCAAGCAGUUAGGCUGGGAAAUAGGCAAAUCCGUUUCCCGUGAAGGCUGAGCUGUGAUGGCGAGCGAAAUUUAGUAGCGAAGUUCCUGAUUCCACACUGCCAAGAAAAGCCUCUAGCGAGGUGAGAGGUGCCCGUACCGCAAACCGACACAGGUAGGCGAGGAGAGAAUCCUAAGGUGAUCGAGAGAACUCUCGUUAAGGAACUCGGCAAAAUGACCCCGUAACUUCGGGAGAAGGGGUGCUUCUUAGGGUGUUAAAGCCCCGAGAAGCCGCAGUGAAUAGGCCCAGGCGACUGUUUAGCAAAAACACAGGUCUCUGCGAAGCCGUAAGGCGAAGUAUAGGGGCUGACGCCUGCCCGGUGCUGGAAGGUUAAGAGGAGCGCUUAGCGUAAGCGAAGGUGCGAAUUGAAGCCCCAGUAAACGGCGGCCGUAACUAUAACGGUCCUAAGGUAGCGAAAUUCCUUGUCGGG
rnacentral:rRNA from 1 species